rnacentral:rRNA from 1 species
GUGGGGAAUUUUGCGCAAUGGGGGAAACCCUGACGCAGCAACGCCGCGUGCGGGAAGACGGCCUUCGGGUUGUAAACCGCUUUCAGCAGGGAAGACCGACGACGGUACCUGCAGAAGAAGCCCCGGCUAACUACGUGCCAGCAGCCGCGGUAAUACGUAGGGGGCGAGCGUUAUCCGGAUUCAUUGGGCGUAAAGCGCGCGUAGGCGGCGCGCCAAGCGGAACCUCUAACCUCGGGGCUCAACCUCGAGCCGGGUUCCGAACUGGCGCGCUCGAGUUCGGUAGAGGCAGGCGGAAUUCCCGGUGUAGCGGUGGAAUGCGCAGAUAUCGGGAAGAACACCGAUGGCGAAGGCAGCCUGCUGGGCCGACACUGACGCUGAGGUGCGAAAGCUAGGGGAGCGAACAGGAUUAGAAACCCCAGUAGUCC